rnacentral:rRNA from 1 species
CCCUUAGAUGUCCUGGGCCGCACGCGCGCUACACUGAUGCAUGCAACGAGUUUAUAACCUUGGCCUGAAAGGUCUGGGUAAUCUUUUGAACGUGCAUCGUGAUAGGGAUAGAUUAUUGCAAUUGUUAAUCUUGAACGAGGAAUUCCUAGUAAACGCGAGUCAUCAGCUCGCAUUGAUUACGUCCCUGCCCUUUGUACACACCGCCCGUCGCUCCUACCGAUUGAAUGCUCAGGUGAGCCAUUCGGACUUUCAUCAUGCUGGUUUCCAGUUUUGAUGAAGGAAAGUCUUGCGAACCUUAUCAUUUAGAGGAAGGAGAAGUCGUAACA